rnacentral:rRNA from 1 species
GACAGAGGAUGCAAGCGUUAUCCGGAAUGAUUGGGCGUAAAGCGUCUGUAGGUGGCUUUUUAAGUCCGCCGUCAAAUCCCAGGGCUCAACCCUGGACAGGCGGUGGAAACUACCAAGCUGGAGUACGGUAGGGGCAGAGGGAAUUUCCGGUGUAGCGGUGAAAUGCGUAGAUAUCGGAAGGAACACCAGUGGCGAAAGCGGCUUCCUGGUCCAGCACCGACGUUCAGGCACGAAAGCGUGGGGAGCAAACAGG